GCUGGCAUAUAUGAUGACUAUUUUUUCCCCGGCAGAUCGACCGUGUUGAUCUCGUAUUUCUUAGCCAGUUUUAGUCUGAUAUGCCAGC